rnacentral:lncRNA from 1 species
AAUCAAUAGUGUGUGUCGAUGUGGUUGCUCAUAAAGUUAAGAAUCAGAUAGGGCUGUUUAGAGUGUGGGCUGGUGCUUUGCAACUUUAAUUGCACAACUUUGCUCACGGCUGCUGACCUGCAGCACUCGCAGCAUUUGAGCUUGAGCAGGGCCAUCCAGUUCCAGCAUAGGGUGCCAGUGGAGCCAACCAGGCUCACAUGAGUGGAGGAUCUUGCCCAGCAGGUAGAAGGACACACAACACUGGUUCAAGACAGAAACAUCAGUCCCACUCCUAGCUGGGACUUGCAAGUGGCUCUCUGAUGCCCUCCAUCCUUGCUCAACGUCUUCCUCUCCAGUUUGUCACCAGGGCAUGAACUCUGUGUUUUGAUUUGGAUGAAAAAAUGCUCAUCAGCAUUUUUCAGACUUGGUUUGUUUUUCUGAAGCACAAUGGAAACGCCACACUUAUUUUCUUUUUUUGAAAUCAUUCCUGAGACUUCAGAAGGUGCACCUACAUUUUAUGGACCUGUCAAUGACUCUGGCCACAGGUCCCCUUGGGCAGGUAUAAGGCAGGGGGGUUGUUAAAACUAAUCAAGAACCAGGACCACACUGCAAAAAAUAAGUGCCCUAAAAGACAAGUGGAGGAACCUGAAACCAUUUUCCAGAAGUCCUCCUCACAGCUGCCAAAUCUCAUCGAUGUUUCUGUUGGUUUUGGUUUUCUUGGGAGUGGUUCUGAGACAUCCCAGCUGAGAAGCAAAGUCCUUUUCACCAACGCAUGCUGUCGGGUUGCUGAUGACUUUGGCUGCAAGGCAGCUUUGAUCAGGACCUCUACACUGGGUGAGGACAGGAGGAAACGAAGCCAUCCAGAGGCAUGAGUGAUGAGAACCCAGGGCCAUCUUGAGGCUCCCCAACAAGGCCUCAGUACUGAGUUUUGCUGCCCAUGGGAUGAGGAGAGGGGGCCAAACUGAUGCUUCACAGCUUCUGCCAGGAGAUGGAGAGCUGAGAAAACACCCCCA